rnacentral:rRNA from 1 species
GACGAACGCUGGCGGCGUGCUUAACACAUGCAAGUCGAACGGAAAGGCCCUGCUUGCAGGGUACUCGAGUGGCGAACGGGUGAGUAACACGUGGGUGAUCUGCCCUGCACUUCGGGAUAAGCCUGGGAAACUGGGUCUAAUACCGGAUAGGAGCCAUUUUUAGUGUGAUGGUUGGAAAGUUUUUUCGGUGUAGGAUGAGCUCGCGGCCUAUCAGCUUGUUGGUGGGGUAAUGGCCUACCAAGGCGGCGACGGGUAGCCGGCCGGAGAGGGUGGACGGCCAAAUUGGGACUGAGAGACGGCCCAGACUCCUACGGGAGGCAGCAGUGGGGAAUAUUGCACAAUGGGCGCAAGCCUGAUGCAGCGACGCCGCGUGGGGGAUGACGGCCUUCGGGUUGUAAACUCCUUUCGCUAGGGACGAAGCUUUUUGUGACGGUACCUAGAUAAGAAGCACCGGCUAACUACGUG